AUAUUAUUAAGCGGAGGAAAAGAAACUAACAAGGAUGCCCUCAGUAACGGCGAGUGAAGCGGGCAAAGCUCAACCUGAAAAUCGAUUAUCCAAGCGGGUAUUCGAAUUGUGGGCUACAGACGCAUGAUCAGUGUGUGACCUAGGUAUAAAUCUUUUGAAACAAGGUAUCAUAGAGGGUGGAGAACUCC
rnacentral:rRNA from 1 species